UACGGGGGGGGCAAGCGUUGUUCGGAAUUACUGGGCGUAAAGGGCUCGUAGGUGGCCAACUAAGUCAGACGUGAAAUCCCUCGGCUUAACCGGGGAACUGCGUCUGAUACUGGAUGGCUUGAGUUCGGGAGAGGGAUGCGGAAUUCCAGGUGUAGCGGUGAAAUGCGUAGAUAUCAGGAGGAACACCGGUGGCGAAGGCGGGUCUCGUGGGCCGAAACUGACGCUGAGGAGCGAAAGCGUGGGGAGCAAACAG
rnacentral:rRNA from 1 species